rnacentral:rRNA from 1 species
UAAAGAAAGCGUAAUAGCUCACUGGUCGAGUCGGCCUGCGCGGAAGAUGUAACGGGGCUAAACCAUGCACCGAAGCUGCGGCAGCGACACUAUGUGUUGUUGGGUAGGGGAGCGUUCUGUAAGCCUGUGAAGGUGUGCUGUGAGGCAUGCUGGAGGUAUCAGAAGUGCGAAUGCUGACAUAAGUAACGAUAAAGCGGGUGAAAAGCCCGCUCGCCGGAAGAC